rnacentral:lncRNA from 1 species
GUUAGGUUUGAGCCUACCCAGAUUAUUUUAUUCAUGAUGAAAUAUAAGGCGGAGAAUCGCUGUGUGAGAGGACAGAAGCUGAUCCGCCCCUGCCCCUCCCUGCCAGCCUGUGCUACCCGCUUUGGCUGGAAGAGUAUCUUCUUUUUACCAUUGUCAAAGAACUUGCUACACUUUCCAUACACCUGGCAUCGCUGCAUGAGGCCAUCCUUGACCAGUAUGUGGAGCUGACAAGGUGCGGUAGGUGGCCACUAAAAUGGCUCCUCAGACCCCCGCCUGUUGUUCCCCACAGUCUGUAUGUUCCCUUUCCCCGGAAUGUGAGUUAGUAUUAUUGAUAGGAUGUCAGUUAUAAAAAUACUGGCUCUAAUCUUGGCCAUGUCCCAUU